rnacentral:rRNA from 1 species
AACGAACGCUGGCGGCAUGCCUAACACAUGCAAGUCGAACGAGACCUUCGGGUCUAGUGGCUCACGGGUGCGUAACGCGUGGGAACCUGCCCUUAGGUUCGGAAUAACUCCCCGAAAGGGGUGCUAAUACCGGAUAAUGUCUUCGGACCAAAGAUUUAUCGCCUUUGGAUGGGCCCGCGUUGGAUUAGCUAGUUGGUAGGGUAAAAGCCUACCAAGGCGACGAUCCAUAGCUGGUCUGAGAGGAUGAUCAGCCACACUGGGACUGAGACACGGCCCAGACUCCUACGGGAGGCAGCAGUGGGGAAUAGUGGACAAUGGGCGAAAGCCUGAUCCAGCAAUGCCGCGUGAGUGAUGAAGGCCUUAGGGUUGUAAAGCUCUUUUACCCGGGAUGAUAAUGACAGUACCGGGAGAAUAAGCUCCGGCUAACUCCGUG